UACGUAGGGUGCAAGCGUUAAUCGGAAUUACUGGGCGUAAAGCGUGCGCAGGCGGUUUUGUAAGUCAGAUGUGAAAUCCCCGGGCUUAACCUGGGAACUGCGUUUGAAACUACAAGGCUAGAGUGUGGCAGAGGGGGGUGGAAUUCACGUGUAGCAGUGAAAUGCGUAGAGAUGUGGAGGAACACCGAUGGCGAAGGCAGCCCCUGGGUUAACACUGACGCUCAGGCACGAAAGCGUGGGGAGCAAACAGG
rnacentral:rRNA from 1 species